rnacentral:lncRNA from 1 species
UUGUACUCACUUUUCUCUCUUGGUUUCUUUGAUGGAUGAUCGAUUUGGGUUCAUGUUGACGGAUCUCUACAAAAAUAAACAGUAGAAGAGUGCAAACUUUGAUAAUGUAGGUUAGCUCUUUUUUUAGCUUUUGUUCUUCGUAUUCUUCGAGUUCUUUUGGAUUUUAAUGUUUUCAUUGUGUUAUUUGUUCAUUUUUAUGGGGUUUUUGUGUUCACAUCCAACGGAGACGAAUGCAAGAUGUAUCAAUACGUUUGUAUCAUUGCCCGACACAAACGUUUGUAUCACUUUCCGGUACGGACGUUUUGCUCACGUCCCAACAAAACGAACGUAGGUCGUUGUUAUAUGUUUGUUUCAUAGGCCUAUUUACUUCCCGAAAGAACAAGCGUAUGUCGUGGCAAAUACGUUUGUAUCGAUAAGACCGACAAACAUAUAUAUUAUUCAUUUGAACUAAUGACUUUAUAUCUAAUAAGUUUUAAUAUGUUUUCCCUUGUUGCAAGAGCACCUAAUAAGUCCAUGUGUUGCGU